rnacentral:rRNA from 1 species
ACCGUGAGGGAAUGGUGAAAAGUACCCCGGGAGGGGAGUGAAAUAGUACCUGAAACCGUGUGCCUGUAAGCCGUCAGAGCCUUGUGGGGUGAUGGCGUGCCUUUUGAAGAAUGAGCCUGCGAGUUAGUGAUACGUGGCGUGCUUAACCCGUGUGGGGUAUGCGUAGCGAAAGCGAGUCUGAAAGAUGGCGUUUGUCGCGUGUUCUAGACCCGAAGCGGGGUGAUCUACCCAUGGUCAGGUUGAAGCAGAGGUAAGACUGUGUGGAGGACCGAACCCACCAGGGUUGAAAACCUGGGGGAUGAACUGUGGGUAGGGGUGAAAGGCCAAUCAAACUCCGUGAUAGCUGGUUCUCCCCGAAAUGCAUUUAGGUGCAGCGUUGCGUGGUCCCUGGUGGAGGUAGAGCUACUGGAUGGCCGAUGGGCCCUGUGGGUUACUGACGUCAGCCAAACUCCGAAUGCCAUUAGGUGUAGCGUGGCAGUGAGACUGCGGGGGAUAAGCUUCGUAGUCGAGAGGGAAACAGCCCAGAUCAUCAGCUAAGGCCCCUAAGCGUACGCUAAGUGGGAAAGGAUGUGGAGUCGCGGUGACAACCAGGAGGUUGGCUUAGAAGCAGCCAUCCUUGAAAGAGUGCGUAAUAGCUCACUGGUCAAGUGGUUCUGCGCCGACAAUGUAGCGGGGCUCAAGCGUACCGCCGAAGCUGUGGCAACGACACGCAAUGCUGGCGCCAGGAACUGGAGUGCUGGUGUGUUGUUGGGUAGGGGAGCGUCCUGCACGAGGUGAAGCCUGGAGGUGACUUCUGGUGGAUUGUGUGGGAGUGAGAAUGCAGGCAUGAGUAACGAAUCUGCGGUGAGAAUCCGCAGCGCCGAUUGACUAAGGGUUCCAGGGCUAGGUUUAUCCGCCCUGGGUUAGUCGGGUCCUAAGGCGAGGCCGACAGGCGUAGUCGAUGGACAACCAGUUGAUAUUCUGGUACCGCGUUAUGACCGCCCAUGCUGAAGUCAUUGUGCUAACCAAUCUGCCCGUGCUCCCGCGUGGCUUUCGGGUCGCGCGGUGUGUGUGGGUCUUGGGGUCCCGGUGAUGGUAGGCAAGCGUGUUAACAGGGGUGACGCAGACAGGUAGCUGCAGUGCGCCGAUGGUUGUGCGUAUUUAAGGUUGUGGCCCGCUUCCCAGGUAAAUCCGGGGGGCACGAUGGGUGAGAACUGAUGAGGGACACACGCGUGUGUGGACUUGUGGUGAUCCUAAGCUGCCGAGAAAAGCCUCGACGUGAGGGCAUGACGCGCCCGUACCCUAAACCGACUCAGGUGGUCAGGUAGAGUAUACCGAGGCGUUCGAGUGAAUCGUGGUUAAGGAACUCGGCAAAAUUCCUCCGUAACUUCGGGAUAAGGAGGACCCCGUGACUUCCCAAUGCUUUGCGUGUUGGUGGGGUUGUGGGGUCGCAGAGAAUAGGGAGAAGCGACUGUUUAUCAAAAACACAGGUGCGUGCGAAGCCGUAAGGCGAUGUAUACGCACUGACGCCUGCCCGGUGCUGGAAGGUUAAGAGGAACUGUCAACACUCCUUGUGGGUGUGAAGCGGUGAAUUUAAGCCCCAGUAAACGGCGGUGGUAACUAUAACCAUCCUAAGGUAGCGAAAUUCCUUGUCGGGUAAGUUCCGACCUGCACGAAUGGCGUAACGACUUCUCCGCUGUCUCAACCGCGAACUCGGUGAAAUUGCAGUACGAGUAAAGAUGCUCGUUUCGCGCAGAAGGACGGAAAGACCCCGGGACCUUUACUAUAGCUUGGUAUUGGUGUUCGCUUGGACUUGUGUAGGAUAGGUGGGAGACUGUGAAGCUGCCGCGCCAGCGGUGGUGGAGUCGUCGUUGAAAUACCAUUCUGGUUUAAGCGGUCACCUUAACCUUGGCCCGUGAUCCGGGUUGGGGACAGUGCCUGGUGGGUAGUUUAACUGGGGCGGUUGCCUCCUAAAAUGUAACGGAGGCGCUCAAAGGUUCCCUCAGCCUGGUUGGUAAUCAGGUGGCGAGUGCAAGUGUACAAGGGAGCUUGACUGUGAGACCGACGGGUCGAGCAGGUGCGAAAGCAGGAACUAGUGAUCCGGCCAUGGCACGUGGGUGCGUGGUCGCUCAACGGAUAAAAGGUACCCCGGGGAUAACAGGCUGAUCUUGCCCAAGAGUCCAUAUCGACGGCAUGGUUUGGCACCUCGAUGUCGGCUCGUCGCAUCCUGGGGCUGGAGCAGGUCCCAAGGGUUGGGCUGUUCGCCCAUUAAAGCGGUACGCGAGCUGGGUU